AAUUCAAAUCUGCAGAAUGAAAUUUAUUCCCAGUACAACUAUCUCCUCUACAGACUUUAACGCCACUCCAGCUCUUCAUACCCAGGGACCAAGUCCCAGGGUCACACUCAGGGGCAAGUCUUGAAGUCACUGAAUACUCGCUGCAAAACUACAUCUCGAUGAUCUCACAGUAGGUGUUUGGUGGCUUUUACAACUGGCCUAUUAGUCAGAGGCAUAUCUCCCAAGAGGGGGGAGGCAGUAGAAUUACCCUGACCACCCCCCCAAGGAAGAGUGGCCCUUACCGUGAGGAACCCCAGCAUGAGAAAUUCUAUCUCGAGAAAGACAAUCAGAAUGCUAAAGCAAGGGUAAGAGGAAAAGGUCUGGAGAAGGAGGCAGUGUGAUUCAAACACUUUUACAAGAAGAAAUUGGCUCAAAUCAAAUUACAGAUAGAAGAUCUGCUGUGUUCAAACAGUGCUCGACCAGAACAAGAAGGGGAGAGGAACAUGAUGAAAUGGUGAACCCCUUCAAAUCACAGGCUCCCCGCUCGGUGUGAACUCUGGGUCACUCAGACUGGAGGAGAAAUGAAUCACCAAAAACAUCAGAAGCCUGUCAGAUUUUCCCCCUUGCUGGAUGUUGUGAAUUUGCUCUCCAGAGCGCGGGUGUCCAGAACAGAUUCCCACAACAUUGUCAAGGUUGAACGUUUCCCAUUCCUAUUGCAUCUCACUCUGACCCCUGGAGAAGUUGAGGGCUCCAUAAUUUUGUAAGUCCCAAAAGAAAGCACUUGAGUUUAACCCUGUCAACGCUGGCAUUUCCAAGAGUGCUAGCGAAACGUCUGUGCGGGAGGAAGGGGGCGAGUGUUGUAUAUAAUGAGGAUCCAGGCUCACUCAAGCCUAACACUUCAGGGCUUGUUCAGUCCUGCUCAUUGGGGCUGUAGAUUUGGGAGAGCCCACACCUAGGCUUUUAUACACAUCCACAGGUUUGUGAACAGUUCCCAUGUCACACAAGCCUGCGCAGGAAUGUUGCAACAGACCGAUGGUCUCUCCAGUCCAGGAGCCAGGACUAGGAGGCAGUGCAGACCAAUGGAUAGAGUUCUAACCUCAGCCCUGCCACUGGCUUGUUGCAAGACCUUGGGCAAGUUACUGCCCCUUUCCUGUACCUCAGUUUCCCCAAAUUAAAAUGAGUGAUUGUCCACAAAGUGAAUAAAGGUUGCAAAAUCAA